rnacentral:rRNA from 1 species
GCAUAUCAAUAAGCGGAGGAAAAGAAACCAACAGGGAUUGCCCUAGUAACGGCGAGUGAAGCGGCAACAGCUCAAAUUUGAAAUCUGGCUCUUUCAGAGUCCGAGUUGUAAUUUGCAGAGGGCGCUUUGGCGUUGGGAGCGGUCCAAGUUCUUUGGAACAGGACGUCACAGAGGGUGAGAAUCCCGUACGUGGUCGCUGGCUAUUGCCGUGUAAAGCCCCUUCGACGAGUCGAGUUGUUUGGGAAUGCAGCUCUAAAUGGGAGGUACAUUUCUUCUAAAGCUAAAUAUUGGCCAGAGACCGAUAGCGCACAAGUAGAGUGAUCGAAAGAUGAAAAGCACUUUGGAGAGAGAGUCAAACAGCACGUAAAAUUGUUGAAAGGGAAGCGCUUGCAGCCAGACUUGCUUACAGUUGCUCAUCCGGGUUUCUACCCGGUGCACUCUUCUGUAGGCAGGCCAGCAUCAGUUUGGGCGGUAGGAUAAAGGUCUCUGUCACGUACCUCCUUUCGGGGAGGCCUUAUAGGGGAGACGACAUACUACCAGCCUGGACUGAGGUCCGCGCAUCUGCUAGGAUGCUGGCGUAAUGGCUGUAAGCGGUCCGUCUUGAAACACGGACC